rnacentral:rRNA from 1 species
UACGUAGGAGGCAAGCGUUAUCCGGAGUUACUGGGCGUAAAGGGCGUGCAGGUGGUUCAAUAAGUUGGUUAUGAAAGCUCCUGGCUAAACUGGGAGAGGUUGACCAAGACUGUUGAACUUGAGUGGAUGAGAGGUAAACGGAAUUCCGCGUGUAGUGGUGAAAUGCGUAGAGAUGCGGAGGAACACCAGUGGCGAAGGCGGUUUACUGGCAUCCAACUGACACUGAGACGCGAAAGCAUGGGUAGCGAACGGG